UACAGAGGUCUCAAGCGUUGUUCGGAUUCAUUGGGCGUAAAGGGUGCGUAGGCGGCGCGGUAAGUCGGGUGUGAAAUCUCCACGCUCAACGUGGAGGGGCCACUCGAUACUGCCAUGACUCGAGUCCGGUAGAGGAGUGUGGAAUUCCCGGUGUAGCGGUGAAAUGCGCAGAUAUCGGGAAGAACACCCGUAGCGAAGGCGGCACUCUGGGCCGGAACUGACGCUGAGGAGCGAAAGCGUGGGGAGCAAACAGG
rnacentral:rRNA from 1 species